rfam:Triticum urartu cultivar G1812 contig23326, whole genome shotgun sequence.
UACAUACUCCCUCUGUCCGGAAAUACUUGUCUUAAAAAUGGAUAAAAUGGAUGAAUCUAUAACUAAAAUAAGUCUAGACACAACCAUUUUUAGGACAAGUAUUUCCGGACGGAGGGAGUACAAG